GAUGAAGAACGCAGCGAAAUGCGAUAAGUAGUGUGAAUUGCAGAAUUCAGUGAAUCAUCGAAUCUUUGAACGCACAUUGCGCCCUCUGGUAUUCCGGGGGGCAUGCCUGUCCGAGCGUCAUUUGCAACCCUCAAGCCCGGCUUGUGUGAUGGGUGCCGUCCCCUACGGGACGCGCCCCGAAGGCAAUGGCGGCGUCGCGGUUAUCCGAUCAGCCAAAGUGUAUGGGGCUUUGUCACUCACUUUACGGCCCGGACCGGCGCCAGUCCGAAUCAAUCUUUUUUCUAAAGUUGACCUCGGAUCAGGUAGGGAUACCCGCUGAACUUAAGCAUAUCAAAAGCGGAGGA
rnacentral:misc_RNA from 1 species